rnacentral:rRNA from 1 species
GGCGGACGGGUGAGUAAUGCUUGGGAACAUGCCUUGAGGUGGGGGACAACAGUUGGAAACGACUGCUAAUACCGCAUAAUGUCUACGGACCAAAGGGGGCUUCGGCUCUCGCCUUUAGAUUGGCCCAAGUGGGAUUAGCUAGUUGGUGAGGUAAUGGCUCACCAAGGCGACGAUCCCUAGCUGGUUUGAGAGGAUGAUCAGCCACACUGGGACUGAGACACGGCCCAGACUCCUACGGGAGGCAGCAGUGGGGAAUAUUGCACAAUGGGCGCAAGCCUGAUGCAGCCAUGCCGCGUGUGUGAAGAAGGCCUUCGGGUUGUAAAGCACUUUCAGUCAGGAGGAAAGGUUAACGGUUAAUACCCGUUAGCUGUGACGUUACUGACAGAAGAAGCACCGGCUAACUCCGUGCCAGCAGCCGCGGUAAUACGGAGGGUGCGAGCGUUAAUCGGAAUUACUGGGCGUAAGGCGUACGCAGGCGGUUUGUUAAGCGAGAUGUGAAAGCCCCGGGCUCAACCUGGGAACUGCAUUUCGAACUGGCAAACUAGAGUGUGAUAGAGGGUGGUAGAAUUUCAGGUGUAGCGGUGAAAUGCGUAGAGAUCUGAAGGAAUACCGAUGGCGAAGGCAGCCACCUGGGUCAACACUGACGCUCAUGUACAAAAGCGUGGGGAGCAAACGGGAUUAGAUACCCCGGUAGUCCACGCCGUAAACGAUGUCUACUAGAAGCUCGGAGCCUCGGUUCUGUUUUUCAAAGCUAACGCAUUAAGUAGACCGCCUGG